UACCAGUUUUGUCUUUCUCCUUAUCCCCCUUGAAUAUUGACCACCUCUUUAAACCACAAAACUCAUGGCACUACUUCUGUCCUCUUUUUUCCGUGCAAUGGUUCUUACUCGUUUUUGUUGAACAACUAUGACAUAGGCUUGAUUCAGAUUUGGCAAGGGUUUCGUACUUAAGAUAUUAAAAUGUACUGUUCUAUAUCCACCUUCAUCCAAUCCCAUCAAAAAUUGAUGAACUCUUUCCUCCUCAUGUUUUCUUUCCAAUUCAAAGGAGAGGUUGCAUUUGCACUCAACACAAGUGCACAUCGAUAUUUGAUUAUAGUUAUUCAAUUCAUCUUAAAAAGUUUUGAGCCUUCUAAAAUAAAUCACCAUCGCUUGUCCAUCUUUUUUGCAAUUCGUCAGAUCUAUCUUCAGUUGUUGCGCUCAAGGACCAUUACCGAU
rnacentral:lncRNA from 1 species